AUAGAACGCUGGCGGCAUGCCUUACACAUGCAAGUCGAACGGUAACGGGCCUUCGGGUGCCGACGAGUGGCGAACGGGUGAGUAAUACAUCGGAACGUGCCCGAUCGUGGGGGAUAACGAGGCGAAAGCUUUGCUAAUACCGCAUACGAUCUACGGAUGAAAGCAGGGGACCGCAAGGCCUUGCGCGGACGGAGCGGCCGAUGGCAGAUUAGGUAGUUGGUGGGAUAAAAGCUUACCAAGCCGACGAUCUGUAGCUGGUCUGAGAGGAUGAUCAGCCACACUGGGACUGAGACACGGCCCAGACUCCUACGGGAGGCAGCAGUGGGGAAUUUUGGACAAUGGGCGCAAGCCUGAUCCAGCCAUGCCGCGUGCAGGAUGAAGGCCUUCGGGUUGUAAACUGCUUUUGUACGGAACGAAAAGCCUUCUUUUAAUACAGGAGGGUCAUGACGGUACCGUAAGAAUAAGCACCGGCUAACUACGUG
rnacentral:rRNA from 1 species